rnacentral:tRNA from 1 species
GUGACUGUAGCUCAGUUGGUAGAGCCCUGGACUGUGACUCCGGUGGUCGCGGGUUCGAACCCCGUCAGUCACCCCA